GCGCUGCAUUAGCUAGUUGGUAAGGUAACGGCUUACCAAGGCAACGAUGCAUAGCCGACCUGAGAGGGUGAUCGGCCACACUGGAACUGAGACACGGUCCAGACUCCUACGGGAGGCAGCAGUAGGGAAUCUUCCGCAAUGGGCGAAAGCCUGACGGAGCAACGCCGCGUGAGUGAUGAAGGUCUUCGGAUCGUAAAACUCUGUUAUUAGGGAAGAACAUAUGUGUAAGUAACUGUGCACAUCUUGACGGUACCUAAUCAGAAAGCCACGGCUAACUACGUGCCAGCAGCCGCGGUAAUACGUAGGUGGCAAGCGUUAUCCGGAAUUAUUGGGCGUAAAGCGCGCGUAGGCGGUUUUUUAAGUCUGAUGUGAAAGCCCACGGCUCAACCGUGGAGGGUCAUUGGAAACUGGAAAACUUGAGUGCAGAAGAGGAAAGUGGAAUUCCAUGUGUAGCGGUGAAAUGCGCAGAGAUAUGGAGGAACACCAGUGGCGAAGGCGACUUUCUGGUCUGUAACUGACGCUGAUGUGCGAAAGCGUGGGGAUCAAACAGGAUUAGAUACCCUGGUAGUCCACGCCGUAAACGAUGAGUGCUAAGUGUUAGGGGGUUUCCGCCCCUUAGUGCUGCAGCUAACGCAUUAAGCACUCCGCCUGGGGAGUACGACCGCAAGGUUGAAACUCAAAGGAAUUGACGGGGACCCGCACAAGCGGUGGAGCAUGUGGUUUAAUUCGAAGCAACGCGAAGAACCUUACCAAAUCUUGACAUCCUUUGACAACUCUAGAGAUAGAGCUUUCCCCUUCGGGGGACAAAGUGACAGGUGGUGCAUGGUUGUCGUCAGCUCGUGUCGUGAGAUGUUGGGUUAAGUCCCGCAACGAGCGCAACCCUUAAGCUUAGUUGCCAUCAUUAAGUUGGGCACUCUAAGUUGACUGCCGGUGACAAACCGGAGGAAGGUGGGGAUGACGUCAAAUCAUCAUGCCCCUUAUGAUUUGGGCUACACACGUGCUACAAUGGACAAUACAAAGGGCAGCGAAACCGCGAGGUCAAGCAAAUCCCAUAAAGUUGUUCUCAGUUCGGAUUGUAGUCUGCAACUCGACUACAUGAAGCUGGAAUCGCUAGUAAUCGUAGAUCAGCAUGCUACGGUGAAUACGUUCCCGGGUCUUGUACACACCGCCCGUCACACCACGAGAGUUUGUAACACCCGAAGCCGGUGGAGUAACCUUUUAGGAGCUAGCCGUCGAAGGUGGGACAAAUGAUUGGGGUGAAGUCGUAACAAGGUAGCCGUAUCGGAAGGUGCGGCUGGAUCACCUCCUUUCUAAGGA
rnacentral:rRNA from 1 species